rnacentral:rRNA from 1 species
UGCAAAAAUCAAAGUAUUGGAGGUCCUGCCUGCCCAGUGACAAGUUAAACGGCCGCGGUAUUUUUAACCGUGCGAAGGUAGCGCAAUCACUUGUCUUUUAAAUAAAGACCUGUAUGAAUGGUGAAACGAGGGCUUAACUGUCUCCCUUUUCAAGUCAAUGAAAUUGAUCUGUCCGUGCAGAAGCGGGCAUAAAAAUACAAGACGAGAAGACCCUUUGGAACUUAAGACAUCAGACCACCUAUAUCAAUGACCCCCUACACCCUAGUUAAAUCUAAAUAGCAACUGGUCCUAGUCUUUGGUUGGGGCGACCGCGGAAUAAAACAAAACUACCGCGCAGACUGGGGCAACCCCCUAGAAUCAAGAGAGACAUCUCUAAACAACAGAAUUUCUGACCAUAAAGAUCCGGCCCUGCCGAUCAACGAACCAAGCUACCAAGGGAUAACAGCGCAAUCCCCUUUAAGAGCCCAUAUCGACAAGGGGGUUUACGACCUCGAUGUUGGAUCAGGACAUCCUAAUGGUGCAACCGUUAUUAAGGGUUCG